rnacentral:rRNA from 1 species
GACAGAGGAUGCAAGCGUUAUCCGGAAUGAUUGGGCGUAAAGCGUCUGUAGGUGGCUUUUUAAGUCCGCCGUCAAAUCCCAGGGCUCAACCCUGGACAGGCGGUGGAAACUACCAAGCUGGAGUACGGUAGGGGCAAAGGGAAUUCCCGGUGUAGCGGUGAAAUGCGUAGAUAUCGGGAAGAACACCAAAGGCGAAAGCACUCUGCUGGGCCGACACUGACACUGAGAGACGAAAGCUAGGGGAGCGAAUGGG